GGAGCCGUAGCGAAAGCGAGUUUUAACUGAGCGUUCAGUUACUUGACGUAGACCCGAAACCGGGCGACCUACCCAUGAGCAGGAUGAAGCGAAAGUAAAAUUUCGUGGAGGUCCGAACCCACGAGCGUUGAAAAGCUCGGGGAUGACUUGUGGGUAGCGGUGAAAUUCCAAUCGAGCCCGGAGAUAGCUGGUUCUCCCCGAAAUAGCUUUAGGGCUAGCCUCAAGGUGAGAGAUACGGAGGUAGAGCACUGAAUGUCCUAGGGGGUAUUGCACCUACCGAAGACUAUCAAACUCCGAAUGCCGUCAUCUUAUACUUGGGAGUCAGACUGUGGGUGAUAAGAUUCAUAGUCGAAAGGGCAACAGCCCAGAUCGUCAGCUAAGGUCCCUAAAUGUAAGUUAAGUGGUAAAGGAUGUGGGAUUGCACAGACAACCAGGAUGUUGGCUUAGAAGCAGCCACUCAUUCAAAGAGUGCGUAAUAGCUCACUGGUCGAGUGAUCCUGCGCCGAAGAUUUCCGGGGCUAAAACUUACUACCGAAGCUACGGCAUCAGUAAUGAUGGGUAGGGGAGCUUCCCAUACGGGUUGAAGCAUGACCGUAAGGACAUGUGGACAGUAUGGGAGUGAGAAUGUUGGCAUGAGUAGCGAGAUGUGGGUGAGAAUCCCACAGGCCGUAAACCCAAGGUUUCCAGGGGAAGGUUCGUCCGCCCUGGGUUAGUCGGGACCUAAGCUGAGGCCGAAAGGCGUAGGUGAUGGACAACAGGUUGAUAUUCCUGUACUACCGAUAACCGUUUGAGAGAAGGGAUGACACAGUAGGAUAAGCUAAGCACACUGUUGGUUAUGUGUGCCCAAGCAUUGAGGCAGUCAAAGUAGGCAAAUCCGCUUUGAUAAUGCUGGGAUGUGAUGGGGAGCGAAAUUUAGUAGCGAAGUAGCUGAUUUCACACUGUCAAGAAAAGUCUCUAUCGAGGUUAAAGGUACCCGUACCGCAAACCGACACAGGUGGGUGAGGAGAGUAUCCUAAGGCCAGCGAGAGAACUGUUGUUAAGGAACUCGGCAAAAUGACCCCGUAACUUAGGGAUAAGGGGUGCCACCAUCAGGUGGCCGCAGAGAAUAGGCCCAAGCGACUGUUUACCAAAAACAUAGGUUUCUGCUAAGUCGCAAGACGAUGUAUAGGAGCUGACGCCUGCCCGGUGCUGGAAGGUUAAGGGGAUCUGUUAGAG
rnacentral:rRNA from 1 species